AUAACUGGUACAUUUUGUGGCUGUACUCAAGACGAUGAAACAAUGAAUAAGCAAAUUGUCUCUAGGAGAAAUUAGAGAAUUGCAGUGAGAAAAUCAUAGUGAACUCAUAGUAUCACAGGAAUUUUGUCAUCAUGGAAUUAGUUGUUCAGGCAUAAUUUACUACAAAGUUAAUAAAUUUAAAAAAAUAAAAAAGAAAAUAUAGUAUUAAUUCUGCUAAGAAGUCAAUUCAUAAGCAGACAAGAUAUAUAUACUUUUUUAAUUCCUAAUAAAUAUCAAGUUUUGCCUCAACGUGAUUUCAAAAAAUUUCUUAAGCACGCCAUAAUGCAAAUUUAAAGUCAUACUGCUCUGAUGGAAUGCAAACUCUUACAAAUCAGCUCAAAGAUUACAAAAGUGGCUUGUGCAGUAACUUACAUUUAGCAGGAAAGAACAUAUUUGUCCAUUAGGACACUGACUACAAAACGCACUCAAUAAGCAUGCAUGACCAGAGAAUUAAAUAUCAGUAGAUGAUGGCAUUAUACAUAUGCAUGGAUUUCAAAAUCCUAGGAGGUAUUAAAAAAAGAAAAAAAAGAUGAGUUCCCUACAAAACACGAUUGCAACCCAAGCAUAUAUUUGUUCAACCAUCGCAUUUUCAGUAUAAUUGACAAAGAUUAAUCUUUUCUACCAUUCGAAAGUCCAAAUAGUGCUUACAAAUGGAUGGCCAUCAUCACCAAGAAUAAACAAGCUGCAGCCCAUUGCUGGUGUGCUAAAAGCAGCCAAUGACUGAGGCUGCAAUAAAGACCCUGAAACAAAUCCACCUCCAAUCUCUGUACCACCACAAUAUUCGAUAAUAGGCUUGUAGUGAGCUCUUCCCAUCAACCACAAGUAUUCGUCUACAUUAGAUGCUUCACCAGUGGAGCCAAAGCAA
rnacentral:misc_RNA from 1 species